GAACGGGGUUUAUAUAACAGAACUCUCCGGAGGGAAGAUAUAUAAACCUAGUGGCGGACGGGUGAGUAACGCGUGGGCAACCUGCCCUGUACCGGGGGACAACAGCCAGAAAUGGCUGCUAAUACCGCAUAAGCCUGCUGUGCCGCAUGGCACAGCAGGGAAAACCACGGUGGUACAGGAUGGGCCCGCGUCUGAUUAGUUAGUUGGCAGGGUAACGGCCUACCAAGACAACGAUCAGUAGCCGGCUUGAGAGAGUGGACGGCCACAUUGGGACUGAGACACGGCCCAGACUCCUGCGGGAGGCAGCAGUGGGGAAUAUUGCACAAUGGGGGGAACCCUGAUGCAGCAAUGCCGCGUGGGUGAAGAAGCACUCCGGUGCGUAAAGCCCUGUCAGCAGGGAACACAAUGACAGUACCUGGACAAGAAGCCCCGGCUAACUACGUGCCAGCAGCCGCGGUAAUACGUAGGGGGCAAGCGUUAUCCGGAUUUACUGGGUGUAAAGGGAGCGCAGGCGGCGUGGCAAGUCAGAUGUGAAAACCCGGGGCCCAACCCCGGGAGUGCAUUUGAAACUGCCAUGCUGGAGUGCCGGAGAGGUAAGCGGAAUUC
rnacentral:rRNA from 1 species